UGCAGGUGCGUCCGUGACUUUCGAUUGUGCGGCGGUGGGCUAUCCCAAGCCAGAGAUGAUCUGGCUUAACAAUGGAGUCGCCAUUGACCUCAAUGACUUGGAUUCGCGCUUCUACCUGGUGGGGUCGGGGUCCCUGCGCGUGCAGAGUGCACGUGCGUUGGACGCGGGCGUGUACACAUGCCGCGCACACAACCGCAUUGACUCUGCCGACCACUCUACGCAGCUGCAAGUCCUGACUGCGCCGCGGGUGAGCCUGCCCGGGGGCGCGG